rnacentral:rRNA from 1 species
CCUACGGGCGGCAGCAGUGGGGAAUAUUGCACAAUGGGGGAAACCCUGAUGCAGCGACGCCGCGUGAGUGAAGAAGUAUUUCGGUACGUAAAGCUCUAUCAGCAGGAACGAGACAAGACGGUACCAGUCUAAGAAGCCCCGGCUAACCACGUGCCAGCAGCCGCGGCAAUACGGAGGGGGCAAGCGUUAUCCGGAAUCACUGGGUGUAAAGGGAGCGUAGACGGCUGUGCAAGUCUGAGGUGAAAGGCGGGGGCUCAACCCCUGGACUGCUUUGGGAACUGUACAGCUGGAGUGCAGGAGAGGAAAGUGGAAUUCCUAGUGUAGCGGUGAAAUGCGUAGAUAUUAGGAGGAACACCAGUGGCGAAGGCGGCUUACUGGACUGUAACUGACGUUGAGGCUCGAAAGCGUGGGGAGCAAACAGGAUUAGAUACCCGGGUAGUC